rnacentral:rRNA from 1 species
CGGCAAUGGACGAAAGUCUGACCGAGCAACGCCGCGUGAGUGAAGAAGGUUUUCGGAUCGUAAAGCUCUGUUGUAAGUCAAGAACGUGUGUGAGAGUGGAAAGUUCACACAGUGACGGUAGCUUACCAGAAAGGGACGGCUAACUACGUGCCAGCAGCCGCGGUAAUACGUAGGUCCCGAGCGUUGUCCGGAUUUAUUGGGCGUAAAGGGAGCGCAGGCGGUCAGGAAAGUCUGGAGUAAAAGGCUAUGGCUCAACCAUAGUGUGCUCUGGAAACUGUCUGACUUGAGUGCAGAAGGGGAGAGUGGAAUUCCAUGUGUAGCGGUGAAAUGCGUAGAUAUAUGGAGGAACACCAGUGGCGAAAGCGGCUCUCUGGUCUGUCACUGACGCUGAGGCUCGAAAGCGUGGGUAGCGAACAGGAUUAGAUACCCUGGUAGUCCACGCCGUAAACGAUGAGUGCUAGGUGUUAGGCCCUUUCCGGGGCUUAGUGCCGGAGCUAACGCAAUAAGCACUCCGCCUGGGGAGUACGACCGCAAGGUUGAAACUCAAAGGAAUUGACGGGGGCCCGCACAAGCGGUGGAGCAUGUGGUUUAAUUCGAAGCAACGCGAAGAACCUACCAGGUCUGACAUCCGAUGCUAUUC